UACGUAGGGUGCGAGCGUUGUCCGGAAUUACUGGGCGGAAAGAGCUCGUAGGUGGUUUGUCGCGGUGUUCGUGAAAACUCACAGCUCAACUGUGGGCGUGCGGGCGAUACGGGCAGACUGGAGUACUGCAGGGGAGACUGGAAUUCCUGGUGUAGCGGUGGAAUGCGCAGAUAUCAGGAGGAACACCGGUGGCGAAGGCGGGUCUCUGGGCAGUAACUGACGCUGAGGAGCGAAAGCGUGGGGAGCGAACAGG
rnacentral:rRNA from 1 species